rnacentral:rRNA from 1 species
UACGUAGGGGGCAAGCGUUGUCCGGAUUUAUUGGGCGUAAAGAGCGUGUAGGCGGCCUGAAAGGUCAGCUGUGAAAACUCGAGGCUCAACCUCGAGACGUCGGUUGAAACCAUCUGGCUAGAGUCCGGAAGAGGAGAGUGGAAUUCCCGGUGUAGCGGUGAAAUGCGCAGAUAUCGGGAAGAACACCCGUGGCGAAGGCGGCUCUCUGGGACGGUACUGACGCUGAGGCGCGAAAAGCGUGGGGGAGCAAACAGG